rnacentral:rRNA from 1 species
CCUACGGGAGGCAGCAGUGAGGAAUAUUGGUCAAUGGACGCAAGUCUGAACCAGCCAUGCCGCGUGCAGGAAGACGGCUCUAUGAGUUGUAAACUGCUUUUGUACGAGGGUAAACGCAGAUACGCGUAUCUGUCUGAAAGUAUCGUACGAAUAAGCAUCAGCUAACUCCGUGCCAGCAGCCGCGGUAAUACGGAGGAUUCAAGCGUUAUCCGGAUUUAUUGGGUUUAAAGGGUGCGUAGGCGGUCGGAUAAGUUAGAGGUUAAAUCCCGAGGCUCAACUUCGGAAUUGCCUCUGAUACUGUGCGGCUCGAGAGUAGUUGCGGUAGGCGGAAUGUAUGGUGUAGCGGUGAAAUGCUUAGAGAUCAUACAGAACACCGAUUGCGAAGGCAGCUUACCAAGCUACUUCUGACGUUGAGGCACGAAAGCGUGGGGAGCAAACAGGAUUAGAUACCCGAGUAGUC